rnacentral:rRNA from 1 species
GAUGAACGCUGGCGGCGUGCCUAAUACAUGCAAGUCGAGCGAACAGACGAGGAGCUUGCUCCUCUGACGUUAGCGGCGUACGGGUGAGUAACACGUGGAUAACCUACCUAUAAGACUGGGAUAACUUCGGGAAACCGGAGCUAAUACCGGAUAAUAUAUUAAACCGCAUGGUUCAAUAGUGAAAGACGGUUUUGCUGUCAAUUAUAGAUGGAUCCGCGCCGCAUUAGCUAGUUGGUAAGGUAACGGCUUACCAAGGCAACGAUGCGUAGCCGACCUGACAGGGUGAUCGGACACACUGGAACUGAGACACGGUCCAGACUCCUACGGGAAGCAGCAGUAGGGAAUCUUCCGCAAUGGGCGAAAGCCUGACGGAGCAACGCCGCGUGAGUGAUGAAGGUCUUCGGAUCGUAAAACUCUGUUAUUAGGGAAGAACAAAUGUGUAAGUAACUAUGCACGUCUUGACGGUACCUAAUCAGAAAGCCACGGCUAACUACGUG